CCACCUCUACACAUAUUUCCAAAAGCACCUUGACCAGCUCUAUG
rnacentral:antisense_RNA from 1 species